rnacentral:rRNA from 1 species
GGGCCCGCACAAGUAGUGGAGCAUGUGGUUUAAUUCGACGCUACGCGAAGAACCUUACCAGGGCUUGACAUGGAGGUAAAGACCUAAGAGAUUAGGGGAUAGUUAUACCUCACACAGGUGGUGCAUGGUUGUCGUCAGCUCGUGUCGUGAGAUGUUGGGUUAAGUCCCGCAACGAGCGCAACCCUUGUCCUUAGUUACCAUCAUUAAGUUGGGGACUCUAAGGAGACUGCCGGUGUAAGCCGGAGGAAGGUGGGGAUGACGUCAAAUCAUCAUGCCCUUUAUGUCCUGGGCGACACACGUGCUACAAUGGCCGGUACAAAGAGACGCCAGAUAGUGAUAUCGAGCAAAUCUCGGAAAGCCGGUCUCAGUUCGGAUUAGAGUCUGCAACUCGACUCUAUGAAGCUGGAAUUACUAGUAAUCGCAGAUCAGCCAUGCUG